UACGGGGGGAGCAAGCGUUGUUCGGAUUUACUGGGCGUAAAGGGCGCGUAGGCGGCCACCGCAAGUCAGUUGUGAAAGCUCUGGGCUUAACCCAGAAAGGUCAACUGAUACUGCGGGGCUAGAGUGCAGAAGGGGCAACUGGAAUUCUCGGUGUAGCGGUGAAAUGCGUAGAUAUCGAGAGGAACACCUGCGGCGAAGGCGGGUUGCUGGGCUGACACUGACGCUGAGGAGCGAAAGCGUGGGGAGCAAACAGG
rnacentral:rRNA from 1 species